CAGUAGCCGCGGUAACACGUAGGGUGCGAGCGUUAAUCGGAAUUACUGGCGUAAAGCGUGCGCAGGCGGUUUUGUAAGACAGGCGUGAAAUCCCCGGGCUCAACCUGGGAAUGGCGCUUGUGACUGCAAAGCUAGAGUGCGGCAGAGGGGGAUGGAAUUCCGCGUGUAGCAGUGAAAUGCGUAGAUAUGCGGAGGAACACCGAUGGCGAAGGCAAUCCCCUGGGCCUGCACUGACGCUCAUGCACGAAAGUGUGGGGAGCAAACAGGAUUAGAGACCCGUGUAGUCCCUGUCUCUUAUACA
rnacentral:rRNA from 1 species